GUCUUUUAAUUCCAGGUUCUGCCUUCUUUGCAAGACAGACUGGAACACGGGCAGGAUGUUUAUAUAUGAGAAGAUAAACAUAUUUCACUGGCUUAUUUAAAUAAAAAUCAACCAAAGCUCCUGCUUGUUCUCAGAAUGCCCCUUUCUGUUAAAUUUAAAAUAGUCACUUAGCCUAUCCACUGAUUGUUUAGAUUGUUGUUAUAUAAAUAACCGCUGAUGAUACUAGUAAGAAGCUGUGCCCAGACUUUCUGAUUUGCAGACACUCUGCGGAUGCCCUGCUUCAACUUCUUUGGAAAGCUGCAGAGACAGGGGGAGCAGUGAAUGACACAGAACUGGCCCUUCGAAUUGUUUUAUAUUCUUUUAGCAGACAUACAUUUCACAAAUGAAAGGUAAAUAUCAUCCUAGGUGAUUCCCAUCUUUCACUUUUUUGGUCACCCAGUUCCAAAUGAGCACCACUGUCAGGUCUGGAUUCAGAGGAAGAAACCUGGAGUGCUCAACACCACACCUUUGGGAUCUAAAUGGAACACCAUCCCUACCAUCGCCAGACAGGUCUGCAGCAGUCAAGCUAGAAGAAUACGUCUAAAUUGGUGUCCAAUUCACAUCUCUCAUGUAACAGCUUGUGCACAAAGAUGCGCAGCCUUGAUAACUGAUUUGCACAAUUAGAAGCACAGCAAUGGCUUGCCAGACACAUUGGCACUGAUUACACCCCAAAGUACAGAAGGUGUGAAAUAUGGCUGUGAGAUUUGUCCAUGGGUGGUACUUAAACUAUUGACACAUGUUCCAAUAUUAAACAAUGACAUUCUU